AUUUUUAAUUAACUUAAUUGACAUAGACCAAGUCCUCUAGUAAAAUGAGGAUGA
rnacentral:tRNA from 1 species